rnacentral:rRNA from 1 species
AGCCUGCCCAGUGACAAAGUUCAACGGCCGCGGUACCCUAACCGUGCGAAGGUAGCAUAAUCACUUGUUCUUUAAAUAGGGACUUGUAUCAACGGCACUACGAGGGUUAUACUGUCUCCUCUUUCCAAUCAGUGAAACUGAUCUCCCCGUGAAGAAGCGAGGAUUAUCAUAUAAGACGAGAAGACCCCAUGGAGCUUUAAACUCACCAUACACCUCUAUGUUACCAUAUCCCAUAGCACAAGAGACCUGUAUGUUAGUUUUAGGUUGGGGGGACCACGGAGCACAACUUAACCUCCAUAACAAAUGGGCUAACACCCUUAUCCACGAGACACAACUCUAAGAAUUACUAAACUAAUGCUUAUGACCCGAUAUUCGAUCAAUGAACCAAGUUACCCUGGGGAUAACAGCGCAAUCUACUUCAAGAGCUCAUAUCGACAAGUAGGUUUACGACCUCGAUGUUGGAUCAGGGUAUCCCGGUGGUGCAACCGCUACCAAUGGUUCGUUUGUUCAACGAUCAAAACCCUAC